AGUGAACGCUGGCGGUAGGCCUAACACAUGCAAGUCGAACGGCAGCACAGUAAGAGCUUGCUCUUACGGGUGGCGAGUGGCGGACGGGUGAGGAAUACAUCGGAAUCUACUUUUUCGUGGGGGAUAACGUAGGGAAACUUACGCUAAUACCGCAUACGACCUACGGGUGAAAGCAGGGGAUCUUCGGACCUUGCGCGAUUGAAUGAGCCGAUGUCGGAUUAGCUAGUUGGCGGGGUAAAGGCCCACCAAGGCGACGAUCCGUAGCUGGUCUGAGAGGAUGAUCAGCCACACUGGAACUGAGACACGGGCCAGACUCCUACGGGAGGCAGCAGUGGGGAAUAUUGGACAAUGGGCGCAAGCCUGAUCCAGCCAUACCGCGUGGGUGAAGAAGGCCUUCGGGUGGUAAAGCCCUUUUGUUGGGAAAGAAAAGCAGCAGGUUAAUACCCCGCUGUUCUGACGGUACCCAAAGAAUAAGCACCGGCUAACUUCGU
rnacentral:rRNA from 1 species